UGUAGUGUAGUUACUCAGAGUCGCCUCUUAGAGAAAGCCAUCAGGUCACUGACUCUGGUGUUCACAGCCCAACUAACGCCAGCUCUCCACUUUCAGAACGCAGCAGCCCUGGGUACUUAUUUCAGCAUCUUGUGUAUUUUGGCCUGCCUGCCCUUAAAGGAUCUGAGAAAGCUCUGGUUCUUAUCUUGUCUCACCUGCCUGCCUUCAGCAUGCCUAGACACACAACCGAACAUGCAGGUCAAAGAAAACAGAAAAGAGGAAUGGAAGGAAGGAGAGAGGAAGUCGUGGAGAGCCUGAAAUUUCUGCCAUAGAAAGUAGUGUUUGGCCUGUCCCUCCUCCUGGCUAAAUGACCCUAGGUCUUCCGGUUGCUCCAUUUUGAAGUGAGUGAAGGAAUUGAACUUAAACUGAAGGAGCACGGACAUCAGCAGGAAGACGGCAUCAGGGCAUCAGCACUCCUCCUGGGGACCAUGUGCAUGCAGCUCAGACAGCACCUGAAGCCAAGACAGCUGCACAGUCUCAAAUACACAAAAUUGCCCGCCUCGGAUCACAGGACAGGCUUUCCAACGAACAAGUGCUAAUUCACUGAAGAAAUGCCUUGUUUGGAAGAGAUGAUCAAUAACUACAAUGAGCUAAGCAGAAGUUUAAGAUCAAUGUACUGGGGCUGGUGAGAUAGCUCAGUGGGUAAGAGCACCCGACUGCUCUU